UACGUAGGGGGCAAGCGUUGUCCGGAUUUAUUGGGCGUAAAGCGCGUGUAGGCGGCUUUGCAAGUCGGGUGUGAAAGCCCUCAGCUCAACUGAGGAAGUGCGCCCGAAACUGCAGAGCUUGAGUACCGGAGAGGAUGGCGGAAUUCCCCAAGUAGAGGUGAAAUUCGUAGAUAUGGGGAGGAACACUGGUGGCGAAGGCGGCCAUCUGGACGGAUACUGACGCUGAGACGCGAAAGCGUGGGGAGCAAACAGG
rnacentral:rRNA from 1 species